GGUUUGGCGAGGAAAGUCCGGACAGCACAGGGCAGCGUACUUCCUAACGGGAAGGUGUUUUGAUCAACGGAUCAAGAUAACAGCUAGUGCCACAGAAAAGAUACCGCUUGCCGAUGCGAAAGCUUAGGCGAGUAAGGGUGAAAAGGUGGGGUAAGAGCCUACCGGAUAUUUGGUGACAAAUAUUGC
rnacentral:ribozyme from 1 species